rnacentral:rRNA from 1 species
GACGAACGCUGGCGGCGUGCUUAACACAUGCAAGUCGAACGGGUCUGCCCUGUUUUUUGCGGGGUGGGUCAGUGGCGAACGGGUGAGUAACACGUGAGUAACCUGCCCCUCACUUCUGGAUAACCGCUUGAAAGGGUGGCUAAUACGGGGUGUUCUGGCUGUGCCGCAUGGUGUGGCUGGGAAAGAUUCACUUUUGUGGUGUUUUGGUGGGGGAUGGGCUCGCGGCCUAUCAGCUUGUUGGUGGGGUGAUGGCCUGCCAAGGCUUUGACGGGUAGCCGGCCUGAGAGGGUGGGCGGUCAGACUGGGACUGAGAUACGGCCCAGACUGCUGCGGGAGGCAGCAGGGGGGGGUAUUGCACAAUGGGCGGAAGGCUGAUGCAGCGACGUCGCGUGAGGGAUGGAGGCCUUCGGGUUGUGAACCUCUUUCGCCGGUGAAGAAGGUCCUGCUCUUUGUGGUGGGGUUGACGGUAGCCGGGUUAUGAAGCGCCGGCUAACUACGUG